rnacentral:ncRNA from 1 species
UUUAAAACGUUGAACAGAAGAGUAGGACUCACAAGCGUCUCCAGAAAGCCCGGCCGAUGGAAGCGGGUGACCUUGUUGUUUCGAAACACAUCUGUGAGUGGUUGUCUGAAUCUUAGUAGGAUGGCUCGGGAAAGCCCGUUACAGCUGGAGUUGCUUGCAACUCACUGAGGUCGAUUCAGUAAUGGAUCGGCGAACAGGGGUGGAACCACGAUGUGAUCGUCCUCUUA